rnacentral:misc_RNA from 1 species
ACAAAGAUCCAUUUUGUUUAUUAAGAUUAGAGCAAGAUUGAAAUAUAAAAAUUUGGGGUCGUAAUAUUUCCAUGACAAAUAUGAAUUCUCGGGUCACUGAAAGUAUGAGUUAAAUAGAAUCGAAAGUAACGGAUUAAAUAAUUCUCACAAGAAAAAUAUUUAACCAAGGCUAACCAUGUAAAAAGGAUCUACCAUUAUCCAGUGUCCUUACUUUGCUUCAUCUGAACGAGCCUUCUAAGUAAAUAUCUUACGGCACAAAGUUAUGAAAGGAUUGAACGAAAAUGCUUGAUAGGCCUUGAGCCAAGAUUAGGACCAGAAAUAAUAUCGCUUUUAGAAAACGAAAUUACCGGAAGGCAAUUUUCUUCUUAGCGACCGAUGAUUGGCAGACAGUUCACCGGGUUGCAGGCAGAAAAGAUUACGAUCGUAAUCUGAGAAUUCUACUUGAAAAAAAAAUUAAAAAAAUUAGAAAAAAAUACGGUCACAUUAUUACUAAUUGUCCAUUGGCCGAGGAUAAUCGAGAGUUUAUUUUUCGUGACCGUAUAUCUUGUAACCUUACUGUCAUCCCUCCUUCAGAUGAAUCUGCAGAGUGUGACAAAAUGACGAAACCAAGAAAUAAGAAAAAAAAAAGGGAGGAAAAAACUAAAAAUGAAGGAAAGAUGAGGAAAUGGUAGCGUUUGAGAGUUGUGGAAGCUGAAACGGGGAGAAAAAAGAAACAUAGAAAAGUGCACGUUGUGGUGAAAACGCAAGACUAUGGCCUGUUUGCGGACUUCCUAACAUUUCUGACCAUAUCUUUGGCCAUAAAUACACCAGACCGUGGCCAAAAUAUGAGAAGACCAUUCCUUUUCUAUCCCUCGCUGGAAAAAGAUCGAAGUUGUCCUUUGCUCCUGAGAAAUCGUUGUCCUUGAAGAAAUCAUCCUCCGCGGAAGCUUUGGUCUCGUCACGCUGAUUUUAAACGGUGCAUUUCUGAAGGUACUUCUGAAAAUUUCCAUCGGAGAUAAGAGGUACUGUGAGUUUCGGUGGUAGAAAAAUUGCUGUGAAAAUAAAGAUUAGUUAGUGGAAUGUUCAGGGGUAGAAUUUUUCUUUAGUAUUUUGUAUAUAUGUAUAUGUAUUCUUUAAACAGAUUAAUGAUUUAGAUUGAAGAUAUCGAAUUUUGGUUGAGUUAAUUUUCAUGCUAUUGAUAUAAGAAGCAGAAUAAUUUAUUUGUUUAAAACAUCAAUUUAGAGAUACAAGCGCGACUUUAGACUGGAAAAAUAUUAGAGAGAGACAUACACAAAAUAUAUUUUCCUUUAGUAUCUAUAUUUUAAUGAAAAGAAAACCAUGUGUAUAUGUAGAAGCUUCAACUUUAAGAAAUUGGAAAACUGUAAAAAAAUAGAGAAUCGUAAGAAUCCACGUGGGAAACCAAAGAAAUGUUAAACGCGUCAGUUCAUAAGCAUUAAAUUCAGAAUUGCACUGGUAUUCUUCGUGUAUUAACAAUGUUCAAGG